rnacentral:ncRNA from 1 species
AUAUCGGGGGUGCUGCUUUAAAAAGGCGGCUGAGACGGGACUUUGGAUUCCCGAACCCUUUAAACCUGUUCGGACAAUACCGGCGUAGGGAGAUAA